rnacentral:rRNA from 1 species
UGGGGAAUAUUGCACAAUGGGCGAAAGCCUGAUGCAGCAACGCCGCGUGAAGGAAGACGGUUUUCGGAUUGUAAACUUCUAUCAAUAGGGAAGAAAGAAAUGACGGUACCUAAAUAAGAAGCCCCGGCUAACUACGUGCCAGCAGCCGCGGUAAUACGUAGGGGGCAAGCGUUAUCCGGAAUUACUGGGUGUAAAGGGAGAGUAGGCGGCAAGGUAAGCGAUAUGUGAAAGCCUCAGGCUUAACCUAAGGAUUGCAUAACGAAUUAUCUAGCUAGAGUACAGGAGAGGAAAGCGGAAUUCCUAGUGUAGCGGUGAAAAUGCGUAGAUAUUAGGAAGAACACCAGUGGCGAAGGCGGCUUUCUGGAUUGAAAACUGACGCUGAGGCUCGAAAGCGUGGGGAGCGAACAGGAUUAGAUACC